rnacentral:pre_miRNA from 1 species
CAAGCAUCAUGGAAAAAACAGCGUGAACACAAGGACGAUGAAAAAGGGCACAUGCCCUUUUUCAUCGUCCUUGUGUUCGCGCUGUUUUUUCCAUGAUGCUUG